UCUGCUUGCCGAAGAGCUUGGUCUUGUGGGGCUGCAGGCCGUACUUGGCCAGGAACUUCUUGACGUCGUUGAAGCCCACGUAGCGCGGCACGUUCUGGAUCUCCACCUUGUAGAUCUCAGAGUGAUUCUCCUGGGAAACGGGCCCUCCUCAUUGGUCCUCUCUCUCGACGUAUUAAAGCCUCCGGACGCGAAAACGGAAGUGGGCGGCCGCUUUCGGCCCGGCCGGAAGUGGGCGCGGCCGUCGCAGUGAACGUCGGGAAGGCGGGAGCUGCGGCCUGGUGGGGACACAAAGCGCCCGGUGGGGCGGAGCGAGGAAGCCCACGAGGAGCACGACACCUCCACCGAGAACGUGGACGACUCUAACCACGAUCCACAGUUCGAGCCCAUCGUGUCUCUUCCCGAGCAGGAGAUCAAGACCCUGGAGGGAGAGGA